rnacentral:piRNA from 1 species
UGUGAGAGGGGCAUUACUGAAUGCAGU